rnacentral:tRNA from 1 species
GGUUCUGUAGUGAAAUUCAUGUUGGGUUGCAAGCCCAUUGAUGCGCAUAGAUAUGCGUCGGAGCCU